rnacentral:rRNA from 1 species
UACGGAGGGUGCAAGCGUUGUUCGGAUUUAUUGGGCGUAAAGCGCGUGUAGGCGGUUUCUUAAGUCUGAUGUGAAAGCCCUGGGCUCAACCCAGGAAGUGCAUUGGAUACUGGGAGACUUGAAUACGGGAGAGGGUAGUGGAAUUCCUAGUGUAGGAGUGAAAUCCGUAGAUAUUAGGAGGAACACCAGUGGCGAAGGCGAGUCCCUGGACAAAACCUGACACUGAGGCACGAAAGCUAGGGGAGCAAACAGG